CAGGUAGUAGCAGACCUAAGGGACUGACUGGAAGGAGUGUGUCUCUGUUGGUAGAACAUGAUGCUUGCAACGCCAGGGUUGUGGGAACAGUACGAACAUUUAUGCAAUCACUACUGUAAGUCGCUCUGGAUAAUAGCAUCUGCUAAAUUACUCAUUUGUUAUUUCUUUUUUAUGUAAAAAAUGAAAGGAAUGGGUAGGCCUUCUUUCUGGCUAGGAGACAAACCGAGGAAGACCGGUAUGCCUACUUGGAGACAAUGCAAGGAGGACAGCUACUGUAGCUGGCUAGGGACCGCCUGAAAGAGACAGGUAGCUACUGUAGCUGGCUAGGGACCGCCUGAAAGAGACAGGUAGCUACUGUAGCUGGCUAGGGACCGCCUGAAAGAGACAGGUAGCUACUGUAGCUGGCUAGGGGACUGAGAGGAUGAGUUACAGUAAUGUAACUGAUGUCAUCCUGUUAAUCACGUCUGCCUGGCCAAACAGCCCUGCGGGUACAGACUGUAGUGUGUGUACAGCCAAGCUGUUCCCACGACCCAGAGGUCAAAGGACAUGCUCAGAGUCGGCGCCAGGCAGAGACCAGCCAGAUAGACGACCUUGCCGCGCACACUUACACACACACACACACACACACACACACACACAC
rnacentral:lncRNA from 1 species